UGGUUGGACAAAGAAGAGACUGUCUCUUGUGUUAUAAUUGAAUUUAACUUUUAAGUGAAAAGGCUUAAAUAUUCUAGAGGGACGAUAAGACCCUAUAAAGCUUUAUAAAUUUGAAGAUUUUGUGUAUUUUUACAUAAAAAUGAAUUUUGAAGAUUUUAUUUGGUUGGGGCGACAAUGGUAUAAUGAGAAUAACUGCUAUUAAAAUUAACAAUUAUAUUUGAAUUAUUAGUAAUUGAUCCUUUAUAAGGAUUUUAAGAUCAAGUUACUUUAGGGAUAACAGCGUUAUUUUUCUUGAGAGUUCUUAUCAAAGGAAAAGUUUGCGACCUCGAUGUUGAAUUAAAAUGUCUAUAUAGUGCAGCAGCUAUAAAAGAAGGUCUGUUCGACCUUUAAUAUUUUACAUGAUUUGAGUUC
rnacentral:rRNA from 1 species